AGAGUUUGAUCCUGGCUCAGGAUGAACGCUAGCGGCAGGCUUAACACAUGCAAGUCGAGGGGUAUUAGUUUUCGGACUAAGAGACCGGCGCACGGGUGCGUAACGCGUAUGCAAUCUACCUUUUACAGAGGGAUAGCCCAGAGAGAUUUGGAUUAAUACCUCAUAGUAUAUAGCCCUGGCAUCAGGAUUAUAUUAAAGUCACAACGGUAAAAGAUGAGCAUGCGUCCCAUUAGCUAGUUGGUAAGGUAACGGCUUACCAAGGCUACGAUGGGUAGGGGUCCUGAGAGGGAGAUCCCCCACACUGGUACUGAGACACGGACCAGACUCCUACGGGAGGCAGCAGUGAGGAAUAUUGGACAAUGGGCGCAAGCCUGAUCCAGCCAUGCCGCGUGCAGGAUGACGGUCCUAUGGAUUGUAAACUGCUUUUAUACGAGAAGAAACACUCCUUCGUGAAGGAGCUUGACGGUAUCGUAAGAAUAAGGAUCGGCUAACUCCGUGCCAGCAGCCGCGGUAAUACGGAGGAUCCAAGCGUUAUCCGGAAUCAUUGGGUUUAAAGGGUCCGUAGGCGGUUUAAUAAGUCAGUGGUGAAAGCCCAUCGCUCAACGGUGGAACGGCCAUUGAUACUGUUAGACUUGAAUUAUUAGGAAGUAACUAGAAUAUGUAGUGUAGCGGUGAAAUGCUUAGAGAUUACAUGGAAUACCAAUUGCGAAGGCAGGUUACUACUAAUUGAUUGACGCUGAUGGACGAAAGCGUGGGUAGCGAACAGGAUUAGAUACCCUGGUAGUCG
rnacentral:rRNA from 1 species